AAUCUUUUUUUUGCCGCCGCAACAGCCUAUAUAUGAAGGGCUGGUGCAAACCAGCUAUGGCGAUAAACGGGCGACGUAAUAAGCCACUCGGACCCGGGGGCAGUACCCGGCGCCUCCACCAGGUUUCAGUUUCGCGUACGAAUUCGCGAGGGACAUGAUGCGAACUGGAACGUGGCGGGGGCGAAACAGGCUCGACGAGGGUGUAAAGGUCGUACUUUUGCUCGGCAUGGUAUCCGCCGUUAUCGGGCCAAACCAAAUAGUUGCCAACGACAACUAUGCGGAGGCACGUCUCGCUGCGUAGUCAGCGCGAUAGCCUAAAUUUCAAGCCCUAACCUCCUCGCAGGGGUUAGGCGCGGUUUCGGAGGGCACCGGGCAACAGAAGCCCUCCACU
rnacentral:tmRNA from 1 species